rnacentral:rRNA from 1 species
UGGGGAAUAUUGGACAAUGGGCGCAAGCCUGAUCCAGCCAUGCCGCGUGUGUGAAGAAGGCCUUUUGGUUGUAAAGCACUUUAAGCGAGGAGGAGGCUACUUGGAUUAAUACUCUAGGAUAGUGGACGUUACUCGCAGAAUAAGCACCGGCUAACUCUGUGCCAGCAGCCGCGGUAAUACAGAGGGUGCGAGCGUUAAUCGGAUUUACUGGGCGUAAAGCGUGCGUAGGCGGCUUCUUAAGUCGGAUGUGAAAUCCCUGAGCUUAACUUAGGAAUUGCAUUCGAUACUGGGAAGCUAGAGUAUGGGAGAGGAUGGUAGAAUUCCAGGUGUAGCGGUGAAAUGCGUAGAGAUAUGGAGGAAUACCGAUGGCGAAGGCAGCCAUCUGGCCUAAUACUGACGCUGAGGUACGAAAGCAUGGGGAGCAAACAGG